rnacentral:rRNA from 1 species
ACUGUGUGUUGUUGGGUAGGGGAGCGUUCUGUAAGCCUGCGAAGGUGGCCUGUGAGGGUUGCUGGAGGUAUCAGAAGUGCGAAUGCUGACAUAAGUAACGAUAAUGCGGGUGAAAAACCCGCACGCCGGAAGACCAAGGGUUCCUGUCCAACGUUAAUCGGGGCAGGGUGAGUCGACUCCUAAGGCGAGGCCGAAAGGCGUAGUCGAUGGGAAACGGGUUAAUAUUCCCGUACCUGGUGUUACUGCGAAGGGGGGACGGAGAAGGCUAUGUUGGCCGGGCGACGGUUGUCCCGGUUUAAGCGUGUAGGCUGGUUUUCCAGGCAAAUCCGGAAAAUCAAGGCUGAGGCGUGACGACGAGGCACUACGGUGCUGAAGCAACAAAUGCCCUGCUUCCAGGAAAAGCCUCUAAGCCUCAGGUAACAUCAGAUCGUACCCGAAACCGACACAGGUGGUCAGGUAGAGAAUACCAAGGCGCUUGAGAGAACCCGGGUGAAGGAACUAGGCAAAAUGGUGCCGUAACUUCGGGAGAAGGCACGCUGACACGUAGGUGAAGCGGUUUACCCGUGGAGCUGAAGUCAGUCGAAGAUACCAGCUGGCUGCAACUGUUUAUUAAAAACACAGCACUGUGCAAACACGAAAGUGGACGUAUACGGUGUGACGCCUGCCCGGUGCCGGAAGGUUAAUUGAUGGGGUCAGCGCAAGCGAAGCUCCUGAUCGAAGCCCCGGUAAACGGCGGCCGUAACUAUAACGGUCCUAAGGUAGCGAAAUUCCUUGUCGGGUAAGUUCCGACCUGCACGAAUGGCGUAAUGAUGGCCAGGCUGUCUCCACCCGGGACUCAGUGAAAUUGAACUCGCUGUGAAGAUGCAGUGUACCCGCGGCAAGACGGAAAGACCCCGUGAACCUUUACUAUAGCUUGACACUGAACACUGGUCCUUGAUGUGCAGGAUAGGUGGGAGGCUUUGAAGUGUGGACGCCAGUCUGCAUGGAGCCGUCCUUGAAAUACCACCCUUUAAUGGCUGGUGUUCUAACGUAGACCCGUGAACCGGGUUGCGGACAGUGUCUGGUGGGUAGUUUGACUGGGGCGGUCUCCUCCUAAAGCGUAACGGAGGAGCACGAAGGUUGGCUAAUCCUGGUCGGACAUCAGGAGGUUAGUGCAAUGGCAUAAGCCAGCUUGACUGCGAGCGUGACGGCGCGAGCAGGUGCGAAAGCAGGUCAUAGUGAUCCGGUGGUUCUGAAUGGAAGGGCCAUCGCUCAACGGAUAAAAGGUACUCCGGGGAUAACAGGCUGAUACCGCCCAAGAGUUCAUAUCGACGGCGGUGUUUGGCACCUCGAUGUCGGCUCAUCACAUCCUGGGGCUGAAGUAGGUCCCAAGGGUAUGGCUGUUCGCCAUUUAAAGUGGUACGCGAGCUGGGUUUAGAACGUCGUGAGACAGUUCGGUCCCUAUCUGCCGUGGGCGCUGGAGAACUGAGGGGGGCUGCUCCUAGUACGAGAGGACCGGAGUGGACGCAUCACUGGUGUUCGGGUUGUCAUGCCAAUGGCACUGCCCGGUAGCUAAAUGCGGAAGAGAUAAGUGCUGAAAGCAUCUAAGCACGAAACUUGCCCCG